rnacentral:rRNA from 1 species
AUGAACGCUGGCGGCGCGCCUAACACCUGCCAGUCGAACGAUUAAAGCACCUUCGGGUGUGUAUAAAGUGGCGAACGGCUGAGUAACACGUGGGCAACCUGCCCCUUUCAUUGGGAUAGCCACGGGAAACCGUGGAUAAUACCGAAUACUUCGAGACUUCCGCAUGGAAGACUCGAGAAAGCUCCGGCGGAGAGGGAUGGGCCCGCGGCCUGUUAGCUUGUUGGUGGGGUAACGGCCUACCAAGGCAAUGAUGGGUAGCUGGGUUGAGAGACCGACCAGCCAGAUUGGGACUGAGACACGGCCCAGACUCCUACGGGAGGCAGCAGUGGGGAAUCUUGCACAAUGGGCGAAAGCCUGAUGCAGCGACGCCGCGUGCGGGAUGAAGGCCUUCGGGUUGUAAACCGCUUUCAGCAGGGACGAGGCGAAAGUGACGGUACCUGCAGAAGAAGCCCCGGCUAACUACGUG